CCCACCCGGCAGUGCCUCCAGGCGCAGGGCAGCCCCUGCCCACCGCACACUGCGCUGCCCCAGACCCACUGUGCGUGUGACAGCGGCUGAUCUGUGCCUGGGCAGCGCGACCCUCCUGGC
rnacentral:pre_miRNA from 1 species